AGAAACAUUGAAGUGAGAGAGCCACAUCAGUUGGUUGCCUCCUACACCCGUUGGGGCAGGGAACCUGCAACCCAGGUAUGUGCCCUUGACCAGAAUCACACCCGCGACCCUUCGGUUUGAGGGCCGACACUCAGCCAUGCCGGCCAGGGCCCACCGGGACACUUUUGAAGAGUAUCCGCCAGUAUCUGUCGAAAGUCUCUCAGUUCAGGUUUGUCUUAUGUUUUCUCCUGAUUGGACCGAUGUGUUUUCGUAAGCUGCGCCCCAGGCCCUCCCCACCCCACUGUCUGCGUCCACGGGUCAUGCGCACAUGCAGGCAAGGAAAGACCAAAUAGGUGAACAAAAAAGUGCGCCCAGUGCUGUUACCGCUUAGUGAACACGGGUUUUAGGAGCUCCGAGCCAGGACCUGGAGGCCGAGACCCGAUAUAUGACUUCCAUGAUUUCACAGGACACAGUUCAACCCACGGCUCUCCGCUCGCAGCAGGCGGCUGCAGGAGCCGUAUUUCUGCCAGGACGGCUGGGAGGCCCAGGGAAAUCCCAUUUCUCAGGGAGGAUGCCUUCGGUAAACUUCACAUGAUUCAAACCUUUGUAGUCCCAGAACCUCUUUCCCCCACAGGAAUGACUGUAAAGUAAGUGAUCAAAUGCGUUCGCACAGCUCGUAAGUCCACAACCGUCUCCCACAUUUUUUGCUUUUGAUGCUGCUUUGUAUCGUUGCAGCAUAAUCUCUGCCCUCCAGCCCUCUCCUCCGUUAACAGCACCACCUGUCGAGGAGCUGCUGUGUGGUGAAGACCUCCAAGCAGUGCCCGGAAAAGCCCGGGUGGCAAGGAACCCGAGGCCCCUGGCCAACUCGCUGGCCAGGCGUGCGAGCGCCCUACCUGGGAAGCCGCUCCCGCAGCGCCAGUCAAACCGGCACAGCCCGGGCACCCAUCUUGACUGCGACAUCGCAGGAGACCCCGAGCCGGAACCAGCCCGGCGAACCAGUCGCUCCUGGAUCCCUGACCCAUUUGGAACCGUGUGAUUUAAUAAAUGUUGAUUGUUUCAAGCUGC